UACGUAGGGGCCGAGCGUUGUCCGGAGUUAUUGGGCGUAAAGCGCGCGCAGGCGGCCUCGCGCGCCCGACGUGAAAGCCCCCGGCUUAACCGGGGAGGGUCGUUGGGGACGGCGGGGCUUGAGGGCGGGAGAGGGUGGUGGAAUUCCUAGUGUAGGAGUGAAAUCCGUAGAUAUUAGGAGGAACACCGGUGGCGAAGGCGGCUACCUGGACCGAUAUUGACGCUGAGACGCGAAAGCGUGGGGAGCAAACAGG
rnacentral:rRNA from 1 species